GGGCCCGUAGCUCAACGGCAGAGCGGCCGGCUCAUAACCGGUUGGUUCCAGGUUCGAAUCCUGGCGGGCCCACCA
rnacentral:tRNA from 1 species